rfam:Oryza rufipogon genomic scaffold, chr09
AAAAAAGACAAACAUGGUUUCCGUGUCCAAUGUUUGACAGUCCGUCUUAUUUGAAAAAAAUAUGAAAAAAAUUAAAAAGACAAGUCACGCAUAAAAUAUUAAUCAUGUUUUAUCAUCUAACAACAAUGAAAAUACGAAUUAUAAAAAAAAUAUAUAAGACGGACAGUUAAAGUUAGACACGAAAACUCAGGGUUUGCCUUUUU